AAAAAACAGCUGGUUGAAGCCCAGAGGAAAUUCCAGAAUCUUAAAAGCCGUUGCUGGAGAGGCUUCAGGCUCGAGGGGGCUGCCGCCCUCACGUUACAGGAAAAAGAAAGUAACUCAACGCGCCGAGAGCUUAAGCCUCACCCGGCAGACGCGGAGCCAGAUCCCGGGCCCAGGGAGCAACGUCCUCAUCCGCAAGCCAGCUCCCGGGGAGAGGAAGCCACGGAGAAGCCAGCCGGCCCCUGGAGCUUCGAGGACCCUCCCUUUCCUCAAGAGAGAGAAUGAGCCAGAGGAGGGCAGAGAGAAGAAGAGAGAGAGAAAAUCCGAAGCAGGCUCAAGACCGUCAGUGCGGAGCCCAACGCGGGGCUCGAACUCCCGAACCCGUGAGGUCAUGACCUGGGCCGAAACCAAGAACUUGAUGCUCAACUGGCUGAGCCGCCCGGGUGUCGCAUGAAGCUCUUCCGACCUCACCCCUACACCCUCGCCACCACCCUCGCUGCGCAUCCCGAGUUUUCAAGAACAUGACCGUAAACAAGGUGAAACUACGCCCCCAAAGACCCCUCCCCCCACCACGGCGAGAAAGCAGAAAGGGGCAGAGCUUCGUACGAAUCCACCCCGUCGCUAGGGACACGGACCGGACUGCCAGGGGCAAACGCUUGGCAAUUACUGCUCCCUGGGCCCCAGAGCCACAUGCACUCCGCGCACGGACCCCCAAGUUCCGGCUUCUUGCCUUUAAACGGCUGAUGGUGGCAAAUACCAAACAAACAAACAAGACAUAAAACGAAAUAAAACGUGUCCUCCCCUACAUUUAUCUCCUUCCACCCCCAAAAGCCCGUGAGGCAAUGCCAUGCUGGCCCCCCCCUCGUACAGAUAAGGAAACCAGGGCCACAGAGCCAGGAAGUCAAGGAAUGGGAAACCACGCAGCUGGAUUGCAGAAGCGGUGACAUUCAUGCCAUCCUGCUCUCCAAACACACCCUGACCAGACGUGCCUCUCCCCACAGCGGCCCAGUGGCACAGCCCCGGGCCUCUCGCAGCACCCCCUCCAGUGCCCACGCGAGGAAGGAAGGAGGGCCCCUGAGUGAGAAGACAGCGUUACCAGUUCGGCAAAGGGUGACAGGGACACCUGUCCUCAUCCAGGGCCCAGGACAUGGCCGUGGUAAGCCCCUCUGUCCUCUGUGGGAAAGUGGCAGGCCGGUGGGCGGGCAGUGUAGACACGGGGUGUGCCAAGAUUGCAACACUCGUCCCCAAGGCCUCCGGGGCCUGCCCUGUUUCUCCGAGCUCUGCUGGAGUGCAGCCUCGUCACAUUAAAAAAAAAAAAAAAAGUCAACCCAAUUCGGGCCACUCCGUCUACAAGAAACGGGAGGAGCAGAGAGGUGCUGGUGGAGGUGAGGGAGUUGGAAAUACAAAUUUCUAUGAGUUGACUCAGUAACUUCCUGCCCUCGGGUCUUUAUAGCAGGACCGGGCCAUGGCUCGCUCGCCUCUGGGAAAACCCCUGGCCCCAAGUCUCCCCUCACCUUGUGUCCACGGUGCCCGAACGUCCGCCGGCACAGACAUUCUCUGCUGACUUUGGCCAUCGUGUUCACAAGCCCCCACUCCCGUAAGCUGUCAGCAGCUACCAACACCUCAGUGUGAACGAGUUGAUUGCUUUGGUUUUCAGCGGGAAGUCUGGGGUGAGAACAGGCUUCUGACCGAAUGGGGCAUUUGAUUAAAAAACAACAACAACAACAAAACAACGAUACAGGAGAUAGCCCUGAUUGGAAUAGGGAGGGUCUGUGGCAGAGGUAAAGCAGAAAGGUCUAGAAAUCACAAAAGAGGAGGAUGUGUAGACUCUGGACAAAUAGGAAUAGCCCUUGUGGUUUACGGUCAAGGGUACAGGCAGGUACGGGAGGAGGUAUCAGGAGCGUGUCUCCCUUUGUCAGCAGCUGUGUGACCUUAGGCAGUCGACCAACCUCUCUGAGCCUCAUCUUGGACAGGAAAGUAUGGCUGUAAACAGGCUAGGGGGCUGGAGCAGAAGGGGUAAUUCAAGAAUUUAGUCUCAUUUCAAAAAGCAUUUACCAGGGACCUCCAGGCACCCAUUUUGUUUUAAAGCCCAGAAGUCUGAGGCACGCCCCCUUGACAGGGACCCACGUAGUGCAGGGCCCAGGGCCAGGCCCUUUACAUGGAUUAUCUCAUUUAAUCU